CUUAGAACUUACAUAUAUCACACAAUAAUCUGCAACUCGCUCCUUUAGCACAAACACCAGUUAAAAUGAGGACUAUCCAGAUGUUGCUUCUGUCCCUGGUCUUUCUCAUGCUAGCAUCAGAUGUGGUAGUGGAGGCAUCAAUGGAUGAUAGCAUGAAACUCUACACAUGUGUGCAAAAAAUUCUCCCAUCGACAAAGCCAUGUGAUAGCAAAACUUGCGAGAAAAAAUGUGUGAAACGUACAAGGCAAACCAAAUCUACCAUGUGUGUUCUUGAGGGGUGCCAGUGCACGUUAUGCAUAGAUCCGGCUCCAACCAUCCAUGAUAAUGAACAAAUGGGUACCAAUUAGCUAAUAUAGGAUAGUGUGUUAAGCAAAUAAAGUGACGAAAUCACAAAUGGUGUAGUAGCAAGGUUGUACACUCAUAAGCCCUUGUUGUGUGAAUUUGGUCUUGCUUCUUGAAUUAUCUGAAAUUAUGAAGUAGAUAUAAAAUUUGUAUGCUUGAAAAA